rnacentral:rRNA from 1 species
AUGCACGCUGGCGGCGUGCCUAAUCCAUUCAAGUCGCGCGAACGGACGAGAAUCUUUCUUCUCUUAUGUUAUCGGCGUACUGUUUAGUAACUCUUUGAUAACCUACCUAUAAUUCUUUGUUUACUUCGGUAAACCUUUUCUAAUUCCUGUUAAUUUUUUUAACCGCCUUUUUCAAAAGUUAUAGACGGUCUUUCUUUUACUUAUAUAUUUAUCCCCGCUGCAUUAGCUAGUUGGUAAGGUAACGGCUUACCAAGGCAACGAUGCAUAGCCGACCUGAGAGGGUGAGCGGCGAAACUGGAACUGAGACACGGACAAGACUACUACGGGAGGAAGCAGUAGGGAAGCUUCCGCAAUGGGCGAAAGCCUGACGGAGCAACGCCGCGUGAGUGAAGAAGGUCUUCGGAUCGGAAAACUCUGUUAUUAGGGAAGAAAAAAUGUGGAAGUAAAUGUGAACAGAUUGACGGUAACUAAUAAGAAAGCAACGGCUAACGACGUG